GGUUAAGCGACUAAGCGUACACGGUGGAUGCCCUCGGCAGUCAGAGGCGAUGAAGGACGUGCUAAUCUGCGAAAAGCGUCGGUAAGGUGAUAUGAACCGUUACAGCCGGCGAUGUCCGAAUGGGGAAACCCAGUGCAAUUCGUUGCACUAUCGUUAACUGAAUACAUAGGUUAACGAGGCGAACCGGGGAACUGAAACAUCUAAGUACCCCGAGGAAAAGAAAUCAACCGAGAUUCCCCCCAGUAGCGGCGAGCGAACGGGGAGCAGCCCAGAGUCUGAAUCAGCUUGUGUGUUAGUGGAACGGUCUGGAAAGUCCGACGGUACAGGGUGAUAGUCCCGUACACCAAAAUGCACAGGUUGUGAACUCGAAGAGUAGGGCGGGACACGUGGUAUCCUGUCUGAAUAUGGGGGACCAUCCUCCAAGGCUAAAUACUCCUGACUGACCGAUAGUGAACCAGUACCGUGAGGGAAAGGCGAAAAGAACCCCGGCGAGGGGAGUGAAAAAGAACCUGAAACCGUGUACGUACAAGCAGUGGGAGCACCUUCGGGUGUGACUGCGUACCUUUGUAUAAUGGGUCAGCGACUUAUAUUCUGUAGCAAGGUUAACCGUAUAGGGGAGCCGCAGGGAAACCGAGUCUUAACUGGGCGUUAAGUUGCAGGGUAUAGACCCGAAACCCGGUGAUCUAGCCAUGGGCAGGUUGAAGGUUGGGUAACACUAACUGGAGGACCGAACCGACUAAUGUUGAAAAAUUAGCGGAUGACUUGUGGCUGGGGGUGAAAGGCCAAUCAAACCGGGAGAUAGCUGGUUCUCCCCGAAAGCUAUUUAGGUAGCGCCUCGUGAACUCAUCUUCGGGGUAGAGCACUGUUUCGGCUAGGGGUCAUCCCGACUUACCAACCCGAUGCAAACUACGAAUACCGAAGAAUGUUAUCACGGGAGACACACGGCGGGUGCUAACGUCCGUCGUGAAGAGGGAAACAACCCAGACCGCCAGCUAAGGUCCCAAAGUCAUGGUUAAGUGGGAAACGAUGUGGGAAGGCACAGACAGCCGAGGAUGUUGGCUUAGAAGCAGCCAUCAUUUAAAGAAAGCGUAAUAGCUCACUGGUCGAGUCGGCCUGCGCGGAAGAUGUAACGGGGCUAAACCAUGCACCGAAGCUGCGGCAGCGACACUAUGUGUUGUUGGGUAGGGGAGCGUUCUGUAAGCCUGCGAAGGUGUGCUGUGAGGCAUGCUGGAGGUAUCAGAAGUGCGAAUGCUGACAUAAGUAACGAUAAAGCGGGUGAAAAGCCCGCUCGCCGGAAGACCAAGGGUUCCUGUCCAACGUUAAUCGGGGCAGGGUGAGUCGACCCCUAAGGCGAGGCCGAAAGGCGUAGUCGAUGGGAAACAGGUUAAUAUUCCUGUACUUGGUGUUACUGCGAAGGGGGACGGAGAAGGCUAUGUUAGCCGGGCGACGGUUGUCCCGGUUUAAGCAUGUAGGCUGGUUAUCCAGCAAAUCCGGAUAAUCAAGGCUGAGGUGUGAUGACGAGGCACUACGGUGCUGAAGUAACAAAUGCCCUGCUUCCGUGAAAAGCCUCUAAGCAUCAGGUAACAUCAAAUCGUACCCCAAACCGACACAGGUGGUCAGGUAGAGAAUACCAAGGCGCUUGAGAGAACUCGGGUGAAGGAACUAGGCAAAAUGGUGCCGUAACUUCGGGAGAAGGCACGCUGGUGUGUAGGUGAAGUCCCUGCGGAUGGAGCUGAGACCAGUCGAAGAUACCAGCUGGCUGCAACUGUUUAUUAAAAACACAGCACUGUGCAAACACGAAAGUGGACGUAUACGGUGUGACGCCUGCCCGGUGCCGGAAGGUUAAUUGAUGGGGUUAUCCGUAAGGAGAAGCUCUUGAUCGAAGCCCCGGUAAACGGCGGCCGUAACUAUAACGGUCCUAAGGUAGCGAAAUUCCUUGUCGGGUAAGUUCCGACCUGCACGAAUGGCGUAAUGAUGGCCGAGGCUGUCUCCACCCGAGACUCAGUGAAAUUGAACUCGCUGUGAAGAUGCAGUGUACCCGCGGCAAGACGGAAAGACCCCGUGAACCUUUACUAUAGCUUGACACUGAACAUUGAGCCUUGAUGUGUAGGAUAGGUGGGAGGCUUUGAAGCGUGGACGCCAGUCUGCGUGGAGCCAACCUUGAAAUACCACCCUUUAAUGUUUGAUGUUCUAACGUUGGCCCCUGACCGGGGUUGCGGACAGUGUCUGGUGGGUAGUUUGACUGGGGCGGUCUCCUCCCAAAGCGUAACGGAGGAGCACGAAGGUUAGCUAAUCCCCGGUCGGACAUCAGGAGGUUAGUGCAAUGGCAUAAGCUAGCUUGACUGCGAGCGUGACGGCGCGAGCAGGUGCGAAAGCAGGUCAUAGUGAUCCGGUGGUUCUGAAUGGAAGGGCCAUCGCUCAACGGAUAAAAGGUACUCCGGGGAUAACAGGCUGAUACCGCCCAAGAGUUCAUAUCGACGGCGGUGUUUGGCACCUCGAUGUCGGCUCAUCACAUCCUCGGGGCUGAAGUAGGUCCCAAGGGUAUGGCUGUUCGCCAUUUAAAGUGGUACGCGAGCUGGGUUUAGAACGUCGUGAGACAGUUCGGUCCCUAUCUGCCGUGGGCGCUGGAGAAUUGAGGGGGCUGCUCCUAGUACGAGAGGACCGGAGUGGACGCAUCACUGGUGUUCGGGUUGUCAUGCCAAUGGCACUGCCCGGUAGCUAAAUGCGGAAGAGAUAAGUGCUGAAAGCAUCUAAGCACGAAACUUGCCCCGAGAUGAGUUCUCCCUGAGACUAUAAGUCUCCUGAAGGAACGUUAAAGACGAUGACGUUGAUAGGCCGGGUGUGUAAGCGCAGCGAUGCGUUGAGCUAACCGGUACUAAUGAACCGUGAGGCUUAACCUU
rnacentral:rRNA from 1 species